UACGAAGGGGGCUAGCGUUGCUCGGAAUCACUGGGCGUAAAGCGCUCGUAGGCGGAUUGUUAAGUCGGGGGUGAAAUCCUGGAGCUCAACUCCAGAACUGCCUUCGAUACUGGCAAUCUUGAGUCCGGGAGAGGUGAGUGGAACUCCGAGUGUAGAGGUGAAAUUCGUAGAUAUUCGCAAGAACACCAGUGGCGAAGGCGGCUCACUGGCCCGGUACUGACGCUGAGGUGCGAAAGCGUGGGGAGCAAACAGGG
rnacentral:rRNA from 1 species